rnacentral:rRNA from 1 species
ACGGGUGAGUAACACGUGGAUAACCUACCUAUAAGACUGGGAUAACUUCGGGAAACCGGAGCUAAUACCGGAUAAUAUAUUGAACCGCAUGGUUCAAUGGUGAAAGACGGUUUUGCUGUCACUUAUAGAUGGAUCCGCGCCGCAUUAGCUAGUUGGUAAGGUAACGGCUUACCAAGGCAACGAUGCGUAGCCGACCUGAGAGGGUGAUCGGCCACACUGGAACUGAGACACGGUCCAGACCUCCGUACGGGAGGCAGCAGGG